rnacentral:rRNA from 1 species
AUUGAACGCUGGCGGCAUGCCUUACACAUGCAAGUCGAACGGCAGCACGGGGCAACCUGGUGGCGAGUGGCGAACGGGUGAGUAAUGCAUCGGAACGUACCUUUCAGUGGGGGAUAACGUAGCGAAAGUUACGCUAAUACCGCAUAUUCUGUGAGCAGGAAAGCAGGGGAUCGCAAGACCUUGCGCUGAUUGAGCGGCCGAUGUCAGAUUAGCUAGUUGGUGAGGUAAAGGCUCACCAAGGCGACGAUCUGUAGCGGGUCUGAGAGGAUGAUCCGCCACACUGGGACUGAUACACGGUCCAGACUCCUACGGGAGGCAGCAGUGGGGAAUUUUGUACAAGGGGGGCAACCCUGAUCCAGCCAUGCCGCGUGAGUGAAGAAGUCCUUCGGGUUGUAAAGCUCUUUCGGCCGGGAAGAAAUCGCACGGGCUAAUACCCUGUGUGGAUGACGGUACCGGAAUAAGAAGCACCGGCUAACUACGUGCCAGCCGCCGCGGUAACAC